GACGAACGCUGGCGGCGUGCCUAAUACAUGCAAGUAGAACGCACAGUUUAUACCGUAGCUUGCUACACCAUAGACUGUGAGUUGCGAACGGGUGAGUAACGCGUAGGUAACCUGCCUGGUAGCGGGGGAUAACUAUUGGAAACGAUAGCUAAUACCGCAUAAUAUUAAUUAUUGCAUGAUAAUUAAUUGAAAGGUGCAAUUGCACCACUACCAGAUGGACCUGCGUUGUAUUAGCUAGUAGGUGAGGUAACGGCUCACCUAGGCGACGAUACAUAGCCGACCUGAGAGGGUGAUCGGCCACACUGGGACUGAGACACGGCCCAGACUCCUACGGGAGGCAGCAGUAGGGAAUCUUCGGCAAUGGACGAAAGUCUGACCGAGCAACGCCGCGUGAGUGAAGAAGGUUCUCGGAUCGUAAAGCUCUGUUGUAAGAGAAGAAAGGGUGUGAGAGUGGAAAGUUCACACUGUGACGGUAUCUUACCAGAAAGGGACGGCUAACUACGUG
rnacentral:rRNA from 1 species